CAUUGUGUAUAUGGACGACAUAAUGAUUGUAGCUCCAACCAAGGAAACGGCACUCGAAAGGUUAAAGAUUGUUUUGGAUAUUUUAUCAAAGGCAGGAUUUUCAUUCAAUGUUGAAAAAUGCUUCUUUCUGAGGACUUCUGUCCAAUAUUUAGGAUUCGAAGUACGAGCAGGUCAGUGACAACAUUGAGACAGUUCAUUGGGUUAGCAUCGUACUUUCGUCAGUUUGUUCCAGGAUUUUCACAGCUAAUGAAGCCUUUAUAUUUUCUCACCUCAGAGAAAAAUAAAUUUGAGUGGAAUAUAGAACAUGAGGAAAUUCGUAGAAAAAUUAUUCACAUUCUUACUAAUAAACCAGUUUUGAUUAUCUUUGACCCGCAAUAUCCAAUAGAGUUACACACCGAUGCGAGUGCAAUCGGAUAUGGUGCUAUACUCUUGCACAGAAUUGAAAAUAAACCGUAUGUAGUGGAAUACUACAGUAAGACAACAUGUGUAUGCGAAUCUAAAUAUACUUCGUAUGAGUUGGAAACUCUUGCGGUGGUAAAUGCAGUCAAGCAUUUCCGGCACUACUUACAUGGCAGAAAGUUUGUAAUAUUCACUGAUUGUAAUUCUUUAAAA